UAUUUUUGAUUACUCAUAUGUAACAAGAAAAUGUAUCGUUUUCAGGUUGCUGCCACUACUCCAUGUGCCCGCAAUUGUCUUGCGUGUAUGAUUACACUAACGGCGUCGCCCACCACGGCGGAAGUGUUUUGCGUACACGCGUUUCAGCAUGAAGCCUGCAGGUGGACGUAAAUUGUAGAAGGCAGCUAGUGGGGGAGAAGAUCAUGGUCAUAGGUCAUGUGACUCCUGGAGCUCCCAGUGGGCUCCCUUGUGGAGUACUUUUCAGAACACACACACACACAGUUUGCUCACAGAACCAACGAGUAGGAUGUUGCUUGAAUACUGAGAGAAAAUGGCGUAACACAUACAAAUAUCGUGUGACACAUAUGACAAUAAAAACAUUUUUCACGAGGGA